rnacentral:ncRNA from 16 species
AGCUCAGUGGCAGAGCGCCAGCCUUGCAAGCUGAAGGUCCUGGGUUCAAUCCCCACCAGAUG